rnacentral:rRNA from 1 species
CAAUAGCGUAUAUUAAAGUUGUUGCGGUUAAAAAGCUCGUAGUUGGAGUUCUGCCAGGUGCCGCCUGUCCGCCCCAGUGGUGAGUACGUGGCGCGCAUUUGGCCCUUUCAAGGGGAGCGUAUCUGCACUUUAUUGUGUGGUGCGGGAUCCUUGACCUUUACUUUGAGGAAAUAGGAGUGUUCCAAGCAGGCUCUCGUCGUGCACAGCUCAGCAUGGAAUAAUAGCAUUGGACCUCGAUUCUAAGCUGUUGGUUGCCAGAAGCGAGGUAAUGAUGAAGAGGGAUAGUUGGGGGCAUUCGUAUUUAACUGUCAGAGGUGAAGUUCUUGGAUUUGUUAAAGACGGACUACUGCGAAAGCAUCUGCCAUGGAUGUUUUCAUUGA